ACGUAGGUACCGAGCGUUAUCCGGAUUUACUGGGCGUAAAGCGCGUUCAGGCGGUUUGGCAAGUCGGGCAUGAAAUCUCUCGGCUCAACCGGGAGAGGUUGUCCGAUACUUCCAGACUUGAGGGCAGUAGAGGGUGGUGGAAUUCCGGGUGUAGUGGUGAAAUGCGUAGAUAUCCGGAGGAACACCAGUGGCGGAAGCGGCCACCUGGACUGCACCUGACGCUGACACGCGAAAGCUAGGGGAGCGAACGGG
rnacentral:rRNA from 1 species